GAUGAACGCUGGCGGCGUGCUUAACACAUGCAAGUCGAACGGAAAGGCCCUGCUUUUGUGGGGUGCUCGAGUGGCGAACGGGUGAGUAACACGUGAGUAACCUGCCCUUGACUUUGGGAUAACUUCAGGAAACUGGGGCUAAUACCGGAUAGGAGCUCCUGCUGCAUGGUGGGGGUUGGAAAGUUUCGGCGGUUGGGGAUGGACUCGCGGCUUAUCAGCUUGUUGGUGGGGUAGUGGCUUACCAAGGCUUUGACGGGUAGCCGGCCUGAGAGGGUGACCGGCCACAUUGGGACUGAGGUGCGGCCGAGACUCCUACGGGAGGCAGCAGUGGGGAAUAUUGCACAAUGGACGGAGGCCUGGUGCAGCAGCGCCGCGUGCGGGAUGACGGCCUUCGGGUUGUAAACCGCUUGCGCCUGUGACGAAGCGUGAGUGACGGUAAUGGGUAAAGAAGCACCGGCUAACUACGUG
rnacentral:rRNA from 1 species